UACGUAGGUGGCAAGCGUUGUCCGGAUUUACUGGGCGUAAAGCGCGUGUAGGCGGCAACGCAAGUCGGGCGUGAAAUCCCACGGCUCAACCGUGGAAGUGCACUCGAAACUGCGUAGCUAGAGUCCUGGAGAGGAAGGUGGAAUGCUUGGUGUAGAGGUGAAAUUCGUAGAUAUCAAGCGGAACACCGGUGGCGAAGGCGGCCUUCUGGACAGUGACUGACGCUGAGACGCGAAAGCGUGGGGAGCAAACAGG
rnacentral:rRNA from 1 species